rnacentral:rRNA from 1 species
UACGGGGGGAGCAAGCGUUGUUCGGAUUUACUGGGCGUAAAGGGCGCGUAGGCGGCGUGACAAGUCACUUGUGAAAUCUCCGGGCUUAACUCGGAGCGGCCAAGUGAUACUGUCGUGCUAGAGUGCGGAAGGGGCUACUGGAAUUCUCGGUGUAGCGGUGAAAUGCGUAGAUAUCUGGAGGAACACCGGUGGCGAAGGCGGGUCUCUGGGCAGUAACUGACGCUGAGGAGCGAAAGCGUGGGGAGCGAACAGG